rnacentral:rRNA from 1 species
UGGGGAAUAUUGGACAAUGGGCGAAAGCCUGAUCCAGCCAUGCCGCGUGAGUGAUGAAGGCCCUAGGGUUGUAAAGCUCUUUUAACGGGGAAGAUAAUGACGGUACCCGUAGAAUAAGCCCCGGCUAACUUCGUGCCAGCAGCCGCGGUAAUACGAAGGGGGCUAGCGUUGCUCGGAAUCACUGGGCGUAAAGCGCACGUAGGCGGACUCUUAAGUCGGUGGUGAAAUCCUGGAGCUCAACUCCAGAACUGCCUUCGAUACUGGGAGUCUCGAGUUCGGGAGAGGUGAGUGGAACUGCGAGUGUAGAGGUGAAAUUCGUAGAUAUUCGCAAGAACACCAGUGGCGAAGGCGGCUCACUGGCCCGAUACUGACGCUGAGGUGCGAAAGCGUGGGGAGCAAA